rnacentral:lncRNA from 1 species
UUGGGCUUGUAGUCCAGUGGUGGACCAUUGCCCUCAAAGUUAAGUAUGACUAUGAGGGCAAUGGUUCGAGUUCCCACGAACUCAACCUCCUCCAAUUAAACAUAAUUGUGUGGAGAUUUCUAUAAACGUCUUUCUCCCUUGCGAAAUGCGAGUGGAGUAGAGACAUCCCUCCUCCGUGAGGAGUAUUUGGGAUGGGCAUGUACUUCAUAAAAUAAAAAUGUAAUAAUAUAAGUCCCAUGUAUAUAUAUCUGAUUGUAAAUAUCAGUGUAAUGACAUGUUGUCAUAGCAGUUGUAUAUAUAUCUGUGUAAUGCAGUAAUCUGAUGUUUAAUCAGUUUAAAAAAAAAAAAAGAUCAUAAAUAAAUGAACCCAUUUAAGCUAUAAUUCAUCUACC